UGCCAACAACAAAUCCCAAUAUGUCUAUACUAUAUCUGAGUGAUAAAAGUUGGGAUGAUCAUGGCUGGAAUGCCGUAGGUCAUAUGUCUAAAUGGUCUGGGUUGAACUGGUGCAAAAGAAUUACAACGGCAAUAACAACUACAGCAUUCUAUGAAAGAGAGAAACAUGAGAGUGGUUCAUCAUGACCUCCUCCAGAUAGACAUGAAAUAUAAAAUUCUGAGAGAGGAGAGUAAGAGUUAAUGGAUGUUUCAAUGUUCAUAGCUUACCCCCAAAGGUAUUAAGCAAAUCUAUCUGACACUAACACCACGAUGGAUUCAGACAGGAAAUUGAAACUUUAUCAUCAUCUGGAAGAAAGGAAAAAAGAAGCCACACAGACACACUCAGAUGAACGGGAAAACACACACCCACAUUGUGUGCAUGUACGCACACAGUAUGUAUAUGUUGCUUUGAGGCAGAUUCAUCUCUGAGUUGCUGAAACAGAAUUAUCAAUAUAACAAAUACUACAGAUUGGCUUCAGGUCAUGGAACCAUGUAAAGACUUUCCUGUGAUUGUUUGUCAGAUUGGAUUAGAUUGGAAUGGUUUAUUCAGCUGUUGGCUAUGAAUAACAAGAGUCCAGAAUAACAAGGCACAAGUAAAGAGAGCAAAUUCAUUCACACAGAAAUUCAUUUCCUGUAGUAAACCCUUCAACAGUUACAUAACACUUUGAAU